rnacentral:rRNA from 1 species
UACGGAGGGUGCAAACGUUGUCCGGAAUCACUGGGCGUAAAGCGCAUGUAGGUGGCUUAGCAAGUGAGCGAUUAAAGACCGACGCCUAACGUCGGGCAGGUUGCUCAUACUACUAGGCUUGAGUAUGACAGGGGUAAGCGGAACUUUAGGUGUAGGAGUGAAAUCCGUAGAUAUCUAAAGGAACACCAAUGGCGAAGGCAGCUUACUGGGUCAUCACUGACACUGAGAUGCGAAAGUGUGGGGAGCAAACGGG